GUUAUAUGGUCAAGUGACUAAGCGUGCACGGUGGAUGCCUAGGCAAUAAGAGGCGAUGAAAGACGUGAUAGCCUGCGAUAAGCUUCGGUGAGGUGGCAAAUAACCUUUGACCCGGAGAUCUCUGAAUGGGGAAACCCACCUGUCAUAAGGCAGGUAUCUGUAACUGAAUACAUAGGUUGCAGAGGCGAACGCGGAGAACUGAAACAUCUAAGUACCCGCAGGAAAAGAAAUCAACCGAGAUUCCCUAAGUAGUGGCGAGCGAACGGGGACCAGCCCUUAAGCUGUUUUGUGGUUAGUAGAACGCUCUGGAAAGUGCGGCCGUAGUGGGUGAUAGCCCCGUAUACGAAAACCUAUAAGCAGUGAAAUCGAGUAGGACGGGACACGUGGUAUCCUGUCUGAACAUGGGGGGACCAUCCUCCAAGGCUAAAUACUCCUUAUUGACCGAUAGUGAACCAGUACCGUGAGGGAAAGGCGAAAAGAACCCCUGUGAGGGGAGUGAAAUAGAUCCUGAAACCGUGUACGUACAAGCAGUGGGAGCCGACUUAGUUCGGUGACUGCGUACCUUUUGUAUAAUGGGUCAGCGACUUAUAUUCAGUGGCAAGGUUAAGCGAAUAGCGGAGCCGUAGGGAAACCGAGUCUUAAAUGGGCGAAUUAGUCGCUGGGUAUAGACCCGAAACCGGGCGAUCUAUCCAUGAGCAGGUUGAAGGUUGAGUAACAUCAACUGGAGGACCGAACCCACUCCCGUUGAAAAGGUAGGGGAUGACUUGUGGAUAGGGGUGAAAGGCUAAUCAAGCCCGGAGAUAGCUGGUUCUCCUCGAAAGCUAUUUAGGUAGCGCCUCGUGUCUAACCAUGGGGGGUAGAGCACUGUUAAGGCUAGGGGGUCAUCUCGACUUACCAACCCUUUGCAAACUCCGAAUACCCAUGAGUUCAAUCACGGGAGACACACGGCGGGUGCUAACGUCCGUCGUGAAAAGGGAAACAACCCAGACCGUCAGCUAAGGUCCCAAAAUUACAGUUAAGUGGGAAACGAUGUGGGAAGGCUAAAACAGCUAGGAGGUUGGCUUAGAAGCAGCCACCCUUUAAAGAAAGCGUAAUAGCUCACUAGUCGAGUCGGCCUGCGCGGAAGAUAUAACGGGGCUCAAACUGUAUACCGAAGCUACGGAUGCGUAUUUAUACGCAUGGUAGAGGAGCGUUCUGUAAGCCGUUGAAGGUCAAGGUGUGAACCAGGCUGGAGGUAUCAGAAGUGCGAAUGCUGACAUAAGUAACGACAAGGGGAGUGAAAAACUCCCCCGCCGGAAACCCAAGGGUUCCUGUCCAACGUUAAUCGGGGCAGGGUUAGUCGGUCCCUAAGGCGAGGCAGAAAUGCGUAGUCGAUGGGAAGCAGUUUAAUAUUACUGCACCUCUUUGUAAUGCGAUGGGGGGACGGAGAAGGCUAGGCCAGCACGGCGUUGGUUGUCCGUGUUUAAGCAUGUAGGCAGAAAUCUUAGGCAAAUCCGGGAUUUCAAUGCUGAGGUGUGAUGACGGUGACUCUACGGAGUCCGAAGUGGUUGAUGCCAUGCUUCCAGGAAAAGCCUCUAAGCUUCAGUUACAAAGAGACCGUACCCGAAACCGACACAGGUGGGUAGGUAGAGAAUACCAAGGCGCUUGAGAGAACUCGGGUGAAGGAACUAGGCAAAAUGGCACCGUAACUUCGGGAGAAGGUGCGCUGGACUUGGUGAAGGGCUUGCCCCGUAAGCUGAGACCAGUCGAAGAUACCAGUCCGCUGCAACUGUUUAUUAAAAACACAGCACUCUGCAAACACGAAAGUGGACGUAUAGGGUGUGACGCCUGCCCGGUGCCGGAAGGUUAAUUGAUGGGGUUAGCGCAAGCGAAGCUCUUGAUCGAAGCCCCGGUAAACGGCGGCCGUAACUAUAACGGUCCUAAGGUAGCGAAAUUCCUUGUCGGGUAAGUUCCGACCUGCACGAAUGGCGUAAUGAUGGCGGAGCUGUCUCCACCCGAGACUCAGUGAAAUUGAAAUCGCUGUUAAGAUGCAGUGUACCCGCGGCUAGACGGAAAGACCCCGUGAACCUUUACUGUAGCUUUGCACUGAACUUUGAACCUAUCUGUGUAGGAUAGGUGGGAGGCUUUGAAGCUGAGACGCCAGUCUUAGUGGAGCCGUCCUUGAAAUACCACCCUGGUAUGUUUGAGGUUCUAACCUAGGCCCGUUAUCCGGGCUGGGGACAGUGUAUGGUGGGCAGUUUGACUGGGGCGGUCUCCUCCCAAAGAGUAACGGAGGAGCACGAAGGUCGGCUAAUCCUGGUCGGACAUCAGGAGGUUAGUGUAAUGGCACAAGCCGGCUUAACUGCGAGACCAACACGUCGAGCAGGUACGAAAGUAGGUCAUAGUGAUCCGGUGGUUCUGUAUGGAAGGGCCAUCGCUCAACGGAUAAAAGGUACUCCGGGGAUAACAGGCUGAUACCGCCCAAGAGUUCACAUCGACGGCGGUGUUUGGCACCUCGAUGUCGGCUCAUCACAUCCUGGGGCUGAAGCCGGUCCCAAGGGUAUGGCUGUUCGCCAUUUAAAGUGGUACGCGAGCUGGGUUUAGAACGUCGUGAGACAGUUCGGUCCCUAUCUGCCGUGGGCGUUUGAGAUUUGAGAAGCGCUGCUCCUAGUACGAGAGGACCGGAGUGGACGAACCUCUGGUGUUCCGGUUGUCACGCCCGUGGCAUUGCCGGGUAGCUAAGUUCGGACAGGAUAACCGCUGAAAGCAUCUAAGCGGGAAACCUCCUUCAAGAUGAGAUCUCACUGGAACUUCGAGUUCCCUGUAGGGCCCUGGAAGACUACCAGGUUGAUAGGUCAGGUGUGUAAGCGUUGUGAGGCGUUGAGCUAACUGAUACUAAUUGCCCGUGAGGCUUGACCAUAUAACACCCAA
rnacentral:rRNA from 1 species